GAUGAACGCUGGCGGCGUGCCUAAUACAUGCAAGUCGAGCGAACAGACGAGGAGCUUGCUCCUCUGACGUUAGCGGCGGACGGGUGAGUAACACGUGGAUAACCUACCUAUAAGACUGGGAUAACUUCGGGAAACCGGAGCUAAUACCGGAUAAUAUAUUGAACCGCAUGGUUCAAUAGUGAAAGACGGUUUUGCUGUCACUUAUAGAUGGAUCCGCGCCGCAUUAGCUAGUUGGUAAGGUAACGGCUUACCAAGGCAACGAUGCGUAGCCGACCUGAGAGGGUGAUCGGCCACACUGGAACUGAGACACGGUCCAGACUCCUACGGGAGGCAGCAGUAGGGAAUCUUCCGCAAAGGGCGAAAGCUUGACGGAGCCACGCCGCGUGAGUGAUGAAGGUCUUCGGAUCGUAAAACUCUGUUAUUAGGGAAGAACAAAUGUGUAAGUAACUAUGCACGUCUUGACGGUACCUAAACGGAAAGCCACGGCUAACUACGUG
rnacentral:rRNA from 1 species